UUGAUGGUAGUGUAUUGGACUACCAUGGCUUUAACGGGUAACGGGGGAUUAGGGUUCGAUUCCGGAGAGGGAGCCUGAGAAACGGCUACCACAUCUAAGGAAGGCAGCAGGCGCGUAAAUUACCCAAUCCUAAUUCAGGGAGGUAGUGACAAGAAAUAACGGACCGGAGCUUUUGUUCCGGGAUUGCAAUGAGUUGAAUUUAAACCCCUUGACGAGGAUCAAUUGGAGGGCAAGUCUGGUGCCAGCAGCCGCGGUAAUUCCAGCUCCAAUAGCAUAUAUUAAAGUUGUUGCAGUUAAAAAGCCCGUAGUUGGAUUUCUGGGAGGGCACUAAUGUCCGCUUGUUAGCGUGUGCAGCCGUUCCCUCCCAUCCUUCUGUUAACGAUUCUUGGUAUUCACUUACUGGUUUCGGGCUCAGAUAUUUUACCUUGAGAAAAUUAGAGUGUUUCAGGCAGGCUCGCGCCGGAAUACAUUAGCAUGGAAUAAUAGAAUAGGACGUUUGACUCCUUUGUUGGUUUGAGGGUCUGACGUAAUGAUUAAUAGGGAUAGUUGGGGGCAUUAGUAUUUAAUUGUCAGAGGUGAAAUUCUCGGAUUUGUUAAAGACUAACUAAUGCGAAAGCAUUUGCCAAGGAUGUUUUCAUUAAUCAAGAACGAAAGUUAGGGGAUCAAAGACGAUUAGAUACCGUC
rnacentral:rRNA from 1 species